rnacentral:rRNA from 1 species
GCCUGUUUAUCAAAAACAUGGCUCUUUGUAACAAGUAGAUAGAGAGUCGGACCUGCCCAGUGAAGUUUCAACGGCCGCGGUACCCUGACCGUGCAAAGGUAGCAUAAUCAUUUGCCUUGUAAUUUAAGGCUAGUAUGAAGGGUUUGACGAGAAUAUAACUGUCUCCUUUUAGUUAAUUAGAAUUUUACUUUCAAGUGAAGAGGCCUGCAUGCCAUUAAUAGACAAGAAGACCCUAUCGAGCUUAAAAAUAAUUUAGAGAAGUUAAUUGAAAUAAAAGAUAAAACCAAAGCUUUGAAAUAUUUUAGUUGGGGCGACUAAGGAACAAAAAGAGCUUCCUUGAAGAUUUUCAUCCUCAGAUAUUGACCCAGAAAGGCUCUGAUCAAAGGAAUUAGUUACCGUAGGGAUAACAGCAUUAUCUUUUUUGAGAGCUCUAAUCGAAAAAAAGGCUUGUGACCUCGAUGUUGGACCAGAAUAUCCAGAAGGUGCAGCAGCCUUCAAGGGUUGGUCUGUUCGACCAUUAAAAUUCUACGUGAUCUGAGUUCA